GGCUGGAUAGCUCAGCUGGUAGAGCAUGAGACUAAGACUCUGAAUCCCAGGGUUGUGGAUUUGAGUCUCACACUGGGCA